rnacentral:lncRNA from 1 species
AAUCCCUUGUUGAGAAAGCCUAGGUUCACUUGUAAAAUCCCAAUCCCUUGGCAACCCAACAAGUUCACCCGCAUUAAGAAAAGAAGUUUAAGACAACCAAAGGUCCUAGCUCUAUCCCUAAACACUAUUUCCUUUAGGUGUUUAUGUUCAUUUCAAGGUUCACAAAAUAUUUCCCAAUACUAAGCAAACCCUAACAUCAUGCCNUGGUUGAUCNAGUCAUAACAAGCUUUAAGCAAAGAAAUAAACACUAACAAGUAAUGAAAGAAGCAUAAAUUCAUUUAGAACAAGUGCAUUUACAAAUGGUUUGUAUAGUUUACAUCAUUCCCCAACAUAAAAGAACUUAG